ACAUAGGAAAAAGGGAAGAGGAAAGAGAAGACAUCAGCUUUCUCUGGUAAAGUACAGGAAAGAAAUCAAGCUCUGUACCUGCCAAGGAGAAAACUCAUGUCGGAUCUGUCUCAUGAUAGCGAAGGAGCACCGCCAGUGCAACUGCCGCCGAGACUCUUGGAUCUGUGGGAGACCGAUAGCGCACAAGUA
rnacentral:rRNA from 1 species